AAAUUUCAUGAUCCAUAUAUCAAAACUCCAUAGCAUCCAUACACCCAAAAUUCCAUAGAAUCCAUAUAUACAUAUAGUUCCAUAGCAUCCAUACAUACAUAGCUCCAUAGAAACAACGAUACUUUUCGGGCAUUAGUAAGUAAUAUUUGGCACUAAAACAAAUGCCUUCAUGUCCAUAUCAUAGUCCAAAGAGCAUCCGCGUGGC
rnacentral:lncRNA from 1 species